rnacentral:rRNA from 1 species
GUGGGGAAUUUUGGACAAUGGGCGCAAGCCUGAUCCAGCAAUGCCGCGUGUGUGAAGAAGGCCUUCGGGUUGUAAACUGCUUUUGUACGGAACGAAACGGCUCUGGUUAAUACCCGGGGCUAAUGACGGUACCGUAAGAAUAAGCACCGGCUAACUACGUGCCAGCAGCCGCGGUAAUACGUAGGGUGCAAGCGUUAAUCGGAAUUACUGGGCGUAAAGCGUGCGCAGGCGGUUUUGUAAGACAGGCGUGAAAUCCCCGGGCUCAACCUGGGAAUGGCGCUUGUGACUGCAAAGCUGGAGUGCGGCAGAGGGGGAUGGAAUUCCGCGUGUAGCAGUGAAAUGCGUAGAUAUGCGGAGGAACACCGAUGGCGAAGGCAAUCCCCUGGGCCUGCACUGACGCUCAUGCACGAAAGCGUGGGGAGCAAACAGGAUUAGAAACCCCGGUAGUCC